AUACGUAGGGGGCAAGCGUUAUCCGGAAUUACUGGGCGUAAAGGGUGCGUAGGUGGCCUGACAAGUCAGGGGUCAAAGGCAACGGCUCAACCGUUGUAAGCCCUUGAAACUGUCGGGCUUGAGUUCAGGAGAGGAAAGCGGAAUUCCUAGUGUAGCGGUGAAAUGCGUAGAUAUUAGGAGGAACACCAGUGGCGAAGGCGGUCUUUCUGGACUGAUACUGACACUGAGGCAACGAAAGCGGUGGGGAGAC
rnacentral:rRNA from 1 species